rnacentral:rRNA from 1 species
AUUGAACGCUGGCGGCAGGCUUAACACAUGCAAGUCGAGCGGAGAUGAGGUGCUUGCACCUUAUCUUAGCGGCGGACGGGUGAGUAAUGCUUAGGAAUCUGCCUAUUAGUGGGGGACAACAUUCCGAAAGGAAUGCUAAUACCGCAUACGCCCUACGGGGGAAAGCAGGGGAUCUUCGGACCUUGCGCUAAUAGAUGAGCCUAAGUCGGAUUAGCUAGUUGGUGGGGUAAAGGCCUACCAAGGCGACGAUCUGUAGCGGGGCUGAGAGGAUGAUCCGCCACACUGGGACUGAGACACGGCCCAGACUCCUACGGGAGGCAGCAGUGGGGAAUAUUGGACAAUGGGCGGAAGCCUGAUCCAGCCAUGCCGCGUGUGUGAAGAAGGCCUUUUGGUUGUAAAGCACUUUAAGCGAGGAGGAGGCUACCUGGAUUAAUACCUAGAGAUAGUGGACGUUACUCGCAGAAUAAGCACCGGCUAACUCUGUGCCAGCCGCCGCCGUAACAC